rnacentral:rRNA from 1 species
GAUGAACGCUGGCGGCGUGCCUAAUACAUGCAAGUCGAGCGAAGCGGGGACGGGUGAGUCACACGUGGGUAACCUCUUUUUUGACUGGGAUAACUUUGUGAAACCGUAGUUAAACCGGUCACUUAUAGCUGGAUCCGCGCUGCAUUAGCUAGUUGGUAAGGUAACGGCUUACCAAGGCAACGAUGCAUAGCCGACCUGAGAGGGGGAUCGGGCACACUGGAACUGAGACACGGUCCAGACUCCUACGGGAGGCAGCAGUAGGGAAUCGUCCGCAAUGGGCGAAAGCCUGACGGAGCAACGCCGCGUGAGUGAUGAAGGUCUUCGGAUCGUAAAACUCUGUUAGUAGGGAGGCGGUACCUAAGCAGAAAGCCACGGCUAACUACGUGCCAGCAGCCGCGGUAAUUC